AUUGAACGCUGGCGGCAUGCCUUACACAUGCAAGUCGAACGGUAACAGGUCUUCGGAUGCUGACGAGUGGCGAACGGGUGAGUAAUACAUCGGAACGUGCCCGAGAGUGGGGGAUAACGAGGCGAAAGCUUUGCUAAUACCGCAUACGAUCUCAGGAUGAAAGCAGGGGACCGCAAGGCCUUGCGCUCACGGAGCGGCCGAUGGCAGAUUAGGUAGGUGGGGGGAUAAAAGCUUACCAAGCCGACGAUCUGUAGCUGGUCUGAGAGGACGACCAGCCAAACUGGGACUGAGACACGGCCCAGAAUCCUACGGGAGGCAGCAGUGGGGAAUUUUGGACAAUGGGCGCAAGCCUGAUCCAGCCAUGCCGCGUGCAGGAUGAAGGCCUUCGGGUUGUAAACUGCUUUUGUACGGAACAAAAAGACUCUGGUUAAUACCUGGGGUCCAUGACGGUACCGUAAGAAUAAGCACCGGCUAACUACGUGCCAGCCGCCGCCGUAAGAC
rnacentral:rRNA from 1 species